rnacentral:tRNA from 9 species
GCCGGUGUGGCGGAAUGGCAGACGCGACCGACUCAAACUCGGUUGCCCGAAAGGGCGUGUGGGUUCGACUCCCACCACCGGCACCA